GAUGAACGCUGGCGGCGUGCCUAAUACAUGCAAGUCGAGCGAGCGGCGGACGGGUGAGUAAUGUCUGAGAAACUGCCUGAUGGAGGGGGAUAACUAAUGGAAAAGGUCGCUAAUACCGCAUACCACAAGAUGUGCCCAGAUGGGAAUAGCUAGUAGGUGGGGUAAGGGCUCACAUAGGCGACGAUCACUAGCGGGUGUGAGAGGAUGAACAGCCAGACUGGAACUGAUACACGGUCCAGAAUCCUACGGGGAUCAGCAGUGGGGAAUAUUGCACAAUGGGCGCAAGCCGGAUGCAGCCAUGCCGCGUGUGUGAAGAAGGCCUUCGGGUUCUAAAGCACUUUCAGCGAGGAGGCGUUACUCGCAGAAGAAGCACCGGCUAACUCCGUGCCAGCAGCCGCGGUAAUUC
rnacentral:rRNA from 1 species